rnacentral:rRNA from 1 species
UGGGGAAUUUUGGACAAUGGGGGAAACCCUGAUCCAGCCAUCCCGCGUGUGCGAUGAAGGCCUUCGGGUUGUAAAUCACUUUUGGCAGGAAAGAAACGUCAUGGGUUAAUACCCCGUGAAACUGACGGUACCUGCAGAAUAAGCACCGGCUAACUACGUGCCAGCAGCCGCGGUAAUACGUAGGGUGCAAGCGUUAAUCGGAAUUACUGGGCGUAAAGCGUGCGCAGGCGGUUCGGAAAGAAAGAUGUGAAAUCCCAGAGCUCAACUUUGGAACUGCAUUUUUAACUACCGGGCUAGAGUGUGUCAGAGGGAGGUGGAAUUCCGCGUGUAGAAGUGAAAUGCGUAGAUAUGCGGAGGAACACCGAUGGCGAAGGCAGCCUCCUGGGAUAACACUGACGCUCAUGCACGAAAGCGUGGGGAGCAAACAGG